rnacentral:rRNA from 1 species
CGCAUCUGUGCAUGCAGCAUAUCAAUAAGCGGAGGAAAAGGCAUACCUACGCUUAGGAUGUUGACACACGCGCGUGCUCGACUCUAUACAUGACUCUGUGCAUGCAGCAUAUCAAUAAGCGGAGGAAAAGGGUGAACCUACGCUUAGGAUGUUGACACACGCGCGUGCUCGGCUCUGUACAUGACUCUGUGCAUAUCAAUAAGCGGAGGAAAAGAAACUAACAAGGAUUCCCUUAGUAACGGCGAGUGAAGCGGGAAGAGCUCAAAUUUGAAAUCUUCAAGGUUUUACCUUGACGAAUUGUAGUUUAAAGAAGUGUUUUCUGUUGAAGUUUUGGUAAAAGUUCUUUGGAAUAGGACAUCAUAGAGGGUGAGAAUCCCGUAUUUGACCAUUAUUUUCAGCUGUGUGAUACACUUUCAAAGAGUCGGAUUGUUUGGGAAUGCAGUCCAAAAUGGGUGGUAAAUUUCAUCUAAAGCUAAAUAUUGGCGAGAGACCGAUAGCGAACAAGUACCGUGAGGGAAAGAUGAAAAGAACUUUGAAAAGAGAGUUAAACAGUACGUGAAAUUGUCAAAAGGGAAGCGUUUGACACCAGUGUUGUUUUCUCGAAAAUCAAUUAAAAAGAGUUAGAUUUUGUUGUGUAUUGACCUUAACAGCUUGCAUUUCAAUUUUCUUGCUUUUUUUAAUGCACUUUUCGUUUAACAAGUCAACAUCAGUUUCUUUUGUUGUAAAAAGGUCAUUGGAAGGUGGCUUUCUUUUCGGAGAAAGUGUUUAUAGCCUUUGACUCCUGCAAUCGGAGAGACUGAGGUCUGCAGCGUAGAUCCUUCGGGGUUAGAUACAUUUGUGCUAAGUUAUAGCUUUUUAUAGACAACUUGUUGACUAUGAUUAGUCUUGUAGCUUACUCGCUUAUGCUAUUUUACCUACGCUUAGGAUGUUGAUGUGAUACUGCGAGCA